ensembl:miRNA mdo-mir-7320b mdo-mir-7320b
UUCUCACCCGCUGGGCUGCCCUGUUUAAAAAGGUCCAGGGCACCCCUGUGGGUUGGGGAGG